rnacentral:lncRNA from 1 species
AAGCGCUUCAGUGGUUAGGAAGUUGUUUAAUAUAUUCUUAUUAAAAGCGAAUUCAAAAUGAACAUUUAAUGGGAGCAUCACAAGUUCAACUCUCAUCUGAGUCACUUUUCGUAACAUGAUUUAAGCUGAAAGCAAAAAAAAAAAAAAAAAAAAAAAAAAACUGGUUUUUUCUUAUGGUUUGUAUAUUCACCACGUUGAAAC